rnacentral:rRNA from 1 species
UAUUGCACAAUGGGCGAAAGCCUGAUGCCGCGACGCCGCGUGAGCGAAGAAGUAUUUCGGUAUGUAAAGCUCUAUCAGCAGGAAAGAUANUGACGGUACCUGACUAAGAAGCACCGGCUAAAUACGUGCCAGCAGCCGCGGUAAUACGUAUGGUGCAAGCGUUAUCCGGAUUUACUGGGUGUAAAGGGAGCGCAGGCGGUGGGGCAAGUAUGAUAUGAAAGCCCGGGGCUCAACCCCGGUACUGCAUUGGAAACUGUCGUACUAGAGUGUCGGAGGGGUAAGCGGAAUUCCUAGUGUAGCGGUGAAAUGCGUAGAUAUUAGGAGGAACACCAGUGGCGAAGGCGGCUUACUGGACGAUAACUGACGCUGAGGCUCGAAAGCGUGGGGAGCAAACAGG